ensembl:lncRNA
CUGCCCUGCAGGACUGCGCGCCAGAGCGCGUUCCGCGGCCCCGCCGCCGGGAGGAGGUACCCACCCACUCGCGGCGCGCGACGGACCCCGUCUCGGCCUGUGGGCGAUUUCCUCUGGACCCGGGCUCCCCGCCCGAGGAGGAAGAUGCAGACCUUUUUGAAAGGGAAGAGAGUCGGCUACUGGCUGAGCGAGAAGAAAAUCAAGAAGCUCAAUUUCCAGGCCUUCGCCGAGCUGUGCAGGAAACGAGGCAUAGAGGUCGUCCAGGGUGCAUCUGCCUGCAGCUGCUGGGGACCAGAUCAGGGCCGACGAGGAGCCUUCUGACAAGCAUCUGAGGUGGUUUCCAGAAAGCCUGCUGCAGUGCUCUCAGGACCAGAGCACCAGAGUGGGGUGGUGGUGGGGUGGGGAGGUAUCUCUGGGGAGCCGUUGCUGGAUCCUUCCUUAUGGCUUCCUGCUGGUGGUUUGAGGGUUGAACCUGUCACCAGGGGCUGAGGUUUCUUUUGGGGUUCUUCUUGGCUCUGCAGAGUUCCAUGACCUGCACUGACCUUUUCUAUGGAGCUUGAUUUCUCCAUCCAUCCACUGGGGACAGUUGGGCCUGAGGAAUGGCUAAGAAGGGUGCUUCCAGGGCACUCCCAGGUAGUUUGGUUGCGGCUAUCUGGGGGAUUCUGUGAUUGAAUGAGAAUCAGGGCUGCCAAGGGCCCAGGGAGUGCAGGUUCACUGCAGGAUUGGUGAUCUCUCAGGCCACUUCCACUGCAGGAUGCUGGGGCAAUGGUUUCAGUGGUUGCCUUGGAAAUCCUCAUUCUUUGCAGAAGCCAGUUACUGGCUGGCAAGCCCUUGGCUGGGAGUUGGUGCUCACUGUGUGUGUGUGAAAUCACAGCUUCCUUGCAGUCCGCUGCAGCCGCUGGUGAGGGUCCCCAGGAACUGCUCCUGCGAUCUGUUUCUGAGGAUGUGUGUUCCUGUGUGCAUAGCAGACACCCUGCAAGACUGAGAAAGAGGCACUCUUCCCUCAAACCGAUUCCACACUGGAACACAGGAGGGCAGCCAGGGGGUUGAAAGCUUGGUUCAGUCAGGGUGGAGUUGGGGACAGGAGCCCUUGUUUACAGCAUGCCGUGCAGAACUCUAAAAUCUUUUGAGCUGUUUCUGCUGUUCAUUUUGAUGAUUGCUGGGGGGGCGGAAGUGUCUGGGGACCGGAGUGAUGCCAAACUGGAUGCUUUCCACCCCAGCAUCUAAAAAUAAAGCCCAUCAUGAUGCCUCCUCAUGCACCUCCUCCUGGCAUCCCUCAUCCUUUGGAGAACUUUUACAUUUUAAGACAUGGAGAAAGGCUCUUUGUGAAAAUCGGAAGCCAAACCACUUGGCUGCUUUUUAAAAAUCAUCUGGGCUUCUGUGUGCCAGAUCCCAGGCUGUGGCCCCUGGAAGCUGGAGUUGGGUGCUUUGCCAGUCACUGGGUUCAGACGUUUGUGAGUGUAAGGGCAAGCUGACCACGCACAGCCACCCCCAGCCCUCCGUCAGAUACCCCGUCCCAUUCUGUGCAGCCCCCCGGGGAUGUGGGUGAAGGUGUAUCUUGCCUGAAGAUGUGGAAAUGGGCUUAGCAUGAUGUGAGCAGGCCUGCUGGUCAGUGGGAGAGUUGAGAGUUGAGGGUGGGUUUGCAGUGUUGGGCUGCCGUGUGGGUAGGCAUGCUGUUGGCUACAGCCCUCCCUGCCUAGCAUUACUGGCCUUUUGCUACUGACUAAACAGAUGGUGUGGCCUGGGCUUAAGACCCAAGACUGUGAAAGCCUGGUUGAUCCUGUGGUGUUUGUCCAGGUCACGGGAGUCAUUUUUCUUCCUGCUGUGGAAUAGCAGCAGUACCAGUCUUAACAUUUAUGGGGUCUGCCAUGUACCUGUACCACACAUUGACACCAUUUACUGUAGAGGAGCAUUUGUGUGUAAACUUUUCCAGAUGGAGGCGGGAGCAUAUAUAUGAAAGUGAAAUUUGUAGGUCCUCAGCUUCCUCGUGUGCUGGUCUGUCUCCACAGCUGGUAUGCUGGGGAAGGAGCUGUACACUCUCCUUCCUGUCUCCCCAGCUGCCCCUUCCAUGUUGUUCCUUUGUAUGGACAGUGUGCACAGUGAUGGGAAAGACCACCUGGGUUCAGGUCCCUGGCUGUGUGAUGAUGUGCCAGCUGUGUCUAAGCACUCUGCAUGUCAGUCUGCCCACCUGUAAAAUGGGCACUGUUGUAGUGGCUGUUCCCCCAGGAUUGUUGUGAAGACUGAGUUAAUUCAGGUAAUGGAGUUGGCCCAAGCAUGGCACAUGGAGGCUGGUGAUCUGCAGAACCACACCCUGUCACUGUCCACAGGAGACCUGAACCUCUGUGUGGACCACAGGGCACUGGGCCCUCCAGGUGUUAGAGAAGGUGGCCAGUCCUCGUAAUCCUGAGCCAGGGAGCUAUUUCUGCUUCUGUGCUUGCACCACAACUGAAAGACAACCUGAUCAAGCUGUCCACUGAUGUCAUGUUAGAAAUGAUUUUUGACGGCUGGAGUUUAGCUCAGUAGUGUAGCACUUGCCUAGCACGCAUAAAGCCCUAGGUGAUCCCCAGCGCUACAGAAUAAAAAAAGAUUUUUUGAUAAGGGAUUACUUUAAUUCUUGGCAUAUAAUUCCAAAGGAAUCAAAAGAAUUUGCUGUGACAAAUCUUUUUCCAUUCAAUCUUUGUAGUUUUUAAGUAAGGGAUUUUUUUUUUUUUUUUUUGGUACUGGGGGAUCGAACUUAGGUCUUUGCACUUGCGAGGCAGGCGGCGAAACCACUGAGCUAAAUCUCCGGCCCCCAAGUAGGUGAUUUUAACACUGUGUCUAUAAAAACUGAGAAUGGAGAUAGAGUUGAUAAGUCUUGUCUUAUUCUAGCAGUAGGUAACAUCCAUCUAUUAAUACAUGAAAUAACUUUUAAGAAAGGCCAAAAAAUAAAAAUAAAAAUAAAAUAAAAUAAAAUGUGUGCACUGGAUGAUCACUUGUCAGCCUAUCACUUGCUCAACUGUGGUCUCCAAACUCUUCUGAUCCAGGACAUCUGAGUAAGACAGAGGCUAGAUCAUGCCCCACCGCGACUGUCCCAGACACCUCUGGGAAUUUCUACACACAAACUCCAUCCUGUGCCACUUUGCUGACAGCUUUUUAAAUUUGGCAACCUAAUUCAAAGAAGGAAAUAGUUAAAUUACAACUGAGUCGAGGGGAAAAUGCACAGUGAGGUUUUCCAGCCAUUUAUGAGGGGAGGCAGUUGCCUCCUCAGUGUUUAUAAGUGGAGGAAGUUCCAAGGGCUCCAGGGAAAGUGCAGGAAACAUUUGCAAGAAAGGAAGGUAACAUUAUGGUGUUAAGCAGGGACACCACCCUUGGAGCAGCCAAAGUGACUCAGGGCUGAGCUGGAAUGCAGGGCACUGGUGGAAGCUGCUCAAGACAGAAUUUAGUCCAAUAUCAGGAAUAAGUCAGAGGAGCCCCAAAAUAAUGUAUGAUGUAUUAGCCUUUUAAUUCUUUUUCUUUCUUCCUCCCUCCCUCCUUCCCUUCCUUCUAUCCUUUCUUCUUUCUGUCCAUCACUCCAAGCCAUUAUCUAUUUUGUGGGGUGUGUGUGUGUGUGUGUGUGUGUGUGUGUGUGUGUGUUUGUGGAGAUGAGAUUAGCAAGAAAGUAGUUCUAAUGAUUUGUGCCUCAGUAUUGGGAAUGACCUUUCUUUAAUGUGAUUUUCUUUCAUUUGACUUUGUAUUAUUGUGCCUCUCAGCAUGCAAUCUGCGCUAAUGGCAUGCUCUGUAAGUGGACAGUCCAGGGCUGUUGGAUGUAUAAGAGACUUCUUCAGAAGUAAACACUUGCCACUCAGUAUCCACAAGACCCUUUACAGGGCCCCAUAGACCCUUGAUAGGGAUGCAUUUGAAGAGAUUUAGGUGUCAGCAAGGUACUUGGACUAGAUGUGGCUGUUCAACAAAUACGUAGUAAGCACAGUUCAGGUGCUGGAGAUUCAGUGGUGCGGAGAUGGGAACAGCCUUCACAGAACCAAAGACCAAGUAAGAUGGAUGUGAUGAGCAGGUCACUGCACUGGGAAAGUCCCAGGAAGGAAACGCACAGGAACCGCAGCUGCUUGAGACACAGGAGCUCACCAGGCUGAAGCACCUUCCUGUGGAAGAAGCACAUGGUGGCUUGAGGUCUGCAGGUGGGGGAGAGGAAUCUUUCCUAGGAUCCUUUCCUGGAUCCAGUUUCCUCACUUGUGUGCUCUCCUGUCAGGGAGCUGAUAGGGACUGGCUCUGAAGAAACACAAACCAUCUCCUGAGGCUAACCAUCAAGAAUUUUGUUUCUAUCAACUCAUAAUAGCUAAAGGUUGAGAGCAGCCUACAUAUCUAUCAAUAGAUGAAUGGACAAAAAAAAUGUGACAUUUACACACAAUGGAGUACUACUGUGUCAUAAGGAUACAUUUGAGUCAUUUGUAGGAAAAUGGAUGCACGUGGAAACUAUAAUGUUACGUGAAAUAAGUCAGACAUAUAAGUUUAAAUAUUGUAUAACUUCUCAUAUAAGAAACCCAAAGUAUAGACAAUUUUAAGAAAACAAAAUAAAACAUAGACAAUAGGAAACAGGGAGAUAGAUCUUUUACAACUGGGAAAGGGAUCCAGAGAUGGAAGGAAUAAAGAGGGAGGGGAACGAAGGACAAUAAAAAGAAUUAAGAUAUGUUAAGUACAUAUACGUACCUCCUAAGAUGAGUGUAAAUGUCAUUUACUGCAAUAUGUACUAAUAAAAUUUUUUUUAAAAAGAA